rnacentral:rRNA from 1 species
AGCGAUUCCCCUAGUAGUGGCGAGCGAACGGGGACCAGCCUAAAACCGCGCAAGCGGGGUCGUGGGGCCUUCCGUAUGGGAGUCAUAAAGGCAUUGCGUAACAGAAGGCCAUGGAAUGGGCCGCCAAAGACGGUGACAGCCCGGUAUGUGAAACGCGAUGCUCUCCCGGAGGGUACCCGAGUACCACAGGACACGUGAAAUCCGGUGGGAAUCUGGGAGGACCAUCUCCUAAGGCUAAAGACUACUCGUUGACCGAUAGUGAACUAGUACCGUGAGGGAAAGGUGAAAAGCACCCCGGUUAGGGGAGUGAAAUAGUACCUGAAACCGUGCGCCUACAAGCAGCGGGAGCACAUUAACGUGUGACCGCGUACCUUUUGCAUCAUGGGCCUGCGAGUUACGUUAUGUGGCAAGGUUAAGCCGAAAGGUGGAGCCGUAGCGAAGCGAGUCUUAACAGGGCGAGCAGUCGCAUGACGUAGACCCGAACCCGAGCGAUCUAUCCAUGUCCAGGCUGAAGGG